UGGGGAAUAUUGCACAAUGGGGGAAACCCUGAUGCAGCGACGCCGCGUGAGCGAAGAAGGCCUUCGGGUCGUAAAGCUCUUUUAUAUGGGAAGAUAAUGACGGUACCAUAAGAAAAAGCCCCGGCUAAUUACGUGCCAGCAGCCGCGGUAAUACGUAGGGGGCUAGCGUUGUCCGGAAUCACUGGGCGUAAAGGGUUCGCAGGCGGCAAUGCAAGUCAGAUGUAAAAGGCAAAGGCUCAACCUUUGUAAGCAUCUGAAACUGUAUAGCUUGAGAAGUGUAGAGGCAAGUGGAAUUUUUAGUGUAGCGGUGAAAUGCGUAGAUAUUAAAAAGAAUACCGGUGGCGAAGGCGACUUGCUGGGCACAAUCUGACGCUGAGGAACGAAAGCGUGGGGAGCAAACAGG
rnacentral:rRNA from 1 species